rnacentral:rRNA from 1 species
AGAUUUGAGCAUUGAAUCACGGGUUCGUUGGUCGAUGAGAAAUGGUGCAAAACUCGAGAGCUUAUGUGAAUUGCAGACAUAUUGAACGUUGAUGUUUUGAACGCAUACGGUGGCAGAGACUUCUGUCGAUGCUACGGCCGCUUGAAAAUCG